CUACUACUACUACUACUACUGUUAAUAAUAAAAAACCCUUUCACUGUUGGUAAACUUUAUGACGUUUUCUUUGUGGGCGGAGCAAACGUGAAGGCAAAGCUAACGCUAGCAAGCACACUGUUGUUUUUUUAAACGUAUCAAUUAAUAAAGUAAUGUGUCUAUUUUAAUGCAAUUAUUGAAGAAAUAGUACGUACUUACGCUUCACUUUAGGCCCAGAGUCCCGGCCCCACAGUCGCAUGUGCCUUUUCCAGCCAAUGGGGUUCUAGCAUCCACCGCCAUUUCUAAGUUUAAACAGCUGUCAACCAAAGCGAUGUCAUCGGUGCAGUAACAGGCGAGUCUUUUAAUCUUCAGUACAGAUAUGCUAGAACACACCUGUCCACGAGACUGCAGGUGAACAUGGCAGGUGAAUUUUCCUACACCUACACCUUAAAUAAACAGGUGACAAAGAAACAUCUACCUGGUCCUUCUGCCAUCAACAUUCCCAUCAAUUCUGACUAUCAUGAGGAGAAGGUGAUUCUACACUCACAGCAGCUUCAUCAGGACCCUGUGAUGAGAUGGUGACCUGAUCAGGAUGUACCCAACGUCAGCUGGCUCCAGCUCAUCCCUAACAUAUACCGGUAACAGGAGACUGCUGUCCUGGGACCUGGGACCACCUGAGGCUAUCAGCUCCAACACAACUCAUCCCCCCUGCAGCUGCUCUCUCACACACACACACACACACACAC